rnacentral:rRNA from 1 species
GGCUCAGGAUGAACGCUGGCGGUAUGCCUAACACAUGCAAGUCGAACGGAGUUCUUCGGAACUUAGUGGCGGACGGGUGAGUAACACGUGAGAACCUACCUUCAGGUUGGGGACAACAGUUGGAAACGACUGCUAAUACCCAAUGUGCCGAAAGGUGAAAGAUUUAUCGUCUGAAGAUGGGCUCGCGGCUGAUUAGCUAGUUGGUGGUGUAAAGGACUACCAAGGCGACGAUCAGUAGCUGGUCUGAGAGGAUGAGCAGCCACACUGGAACUGAGAAACGGUCCAGACUCCUACGGGAGGCAGCAGUGGGGAAUUUUCCGCAAUGGGCGAAAGCCUGACGGAGCAAUACCGCGUGAGGGAGGAAGGUUCUUGGAUUGUAAACCUCUUUUAUCAGGGAAGAAGUACUGACGGUACCUGAUGAAUAAGCAUCGGCUAACUCCGUGCCAGCAGCCGCGGUAAUACGGAGGAUGCAAGCGUUAUCCGGAAUCAUUGGGCGUAAAGCGUCCGUAGGUGGUCUAUCAAGUCUGCUGUCAAAGCAUGGAGCUUAACUCCAUAUCGGCGGUGGAAACUGAGAGACUAGAGUUCGGUAGGGGUAGUGGGAAUUCCCAGUGUAGCGGUGAAAUGCGUAGAUAUUGGGAAGAACAUCGGUGGCGAAAGCGCACUACUGGGCCGAAACUGACACUGAGGGACGAAAGCUAGGGUAGCGAAAGGGAUUAGAUACCCCUGUAGUCCUAGCCGUAAACGAUGGAUACUAGGCGUAGCACGUAUCGACCCGUGCUGUGCCGAAGCUAACGCGUUAAGUAUCCCGCCUGGGGAGUACGCUCGCAAGAGUGAAACUCAAAU